rnacentral:rRNA from 1 species
AACGAACGCUGGCGGCAUGCCUAACACAUGCAAGUCGAACGAGACCUUCGGGUCUAGUGGCGCACGGGUGCGUAACGCGUGGGAACCUGCCCUUAGGUUCGGAAUAACUCCCCGAAAGGGGUGCUAAUACCGGAUAAUGUCUUCGGACCAAAGAUUUAUCGCCUUUGGAUGGGCCCGCGUUGGAUUAGCUAGUUGGUAGGGUAAAAGCCUACCAAGGCGACGAUCCAUAGCUGGUCUGAGAGGAUGAUCAGCCACACUGGGACUGAGACACGGCCCAGACUCCUACGGGAGGCAGCAGUGGGGAAUAUGGGACAAUGGGCGAGAGCCUGAUCCAGCAAUGCCGCGUGAGUGAUGAAGGCCUUAGGGUUGUAAAGCUCUUUUACCCGGGAUGAUAAUGACAGUACCGGGAGAAUAAGCGCCGGCUAACUCCGUG